AUCGCUCGGCCUUUUGGCUAAGAUCAAGUGUAGUAUCUGUUCUUAUCAGUUUAAUAUCUGAUACGCCCGAUUGGGGCAACGUAUUAAACCCAUUUUAGAACAAGGAGCUGAAUAAGGGGCUCGCUCCGUUCGCUCCACGCAUCGACCCGGUAUUGCAGCGCCCGGGAACGGUGCCCCUUUG
ensembl:snRNA U2 U2 spliceosomal RNA